GCUGGGCAUGGUGGCACAUGCCUGUAGUCCCAGCUACUCGGGAGGCUGAGGUGGGAGGAUCACUUGAGCCCAGGAAUGAAGGUUGCAGUGAGCUGAGAUUGUGCCAUUGCAGUCUAGCCUGGGCAACAGAGUGAGACCCUGUCUCAA
ensembl:misc_RNA Metazoa_SRP Metazoan signal recognition particle RNA